UCGAGUUUAUUCAACUCCCAACCCUAUGUGAACUUACCACUUGUUGCUUCGGCGGCGCUUCGGCGUCGCCGGGGGUAUCAAACUCUUAUUGUUUUUAUAGCAUUAUCUGAGUGGCCGAAAGGCAAAAAACAAAUGAAUCA
rnacentral:misc_RNA from 1 species